CCCUUAGAUGUCCUGGGCCGCACGCGCGCCACACUGAUGCAUGCAACGAGUUUAUAACCUUGGCCUGAAAGGUCUGGGUAAUCUUUUGAACGUGCAUCGUGAUAGGGAUAGAUUAUUGCAAUUGUUAAUCUUGAACGAGGAAUUCCUAGUAAACGCGAGUCAUCAGCUCGCAUUGAUUACGUCCCUGCCCUUUGUACACACCGCCCGUCGCACCUACCGAUUGAAUGGUUCGGUGAAGAUCUCGGACUUCGAUAUUUAUUCUUUAUUGAGUUUAUAUUGUGGGAAGUUAUCUAAACCUCAUCAUUUAGAGGAAGGUGAAGUCGUAACA
rnacentral:rRNA from 1 species